GCUCAUUCUGUUGCGCUUCUUCAGCGUAAUUUAUAAAAAUUACGUGUACGAGUAAAUGACAAUUUUUUAAAUUUUAGUUAAAAGAGUUGUCCAGUCUCAAUUGCAAUAUUAUUAAAGUAUUAUUUAAACAAUCUCAUAUCGUCGAAUAGGCAUCAAAUCGAAUACUUCGGGGAGAUCUCACGCGUAGAACUACAUGAUUAAACUGCAGUAUAUCAUCUGUUCAGUAAAUCAAAGGAAUUUGUGGAUGGGAAACGGCAGUCCAACGACGACGAAGUUAAGGAGCAGACGGCGAAGGAGUUGACGGGUGAAGUCUACGACACGGGUACAAAAGUCCAUCUCUCGACUACGAAAAUAGACAUCUACAUUGAACUUGAAGACGAUUGCGUUAAAGAAUCGCUUGCCUAUUAAAUUUGUGACGUGGAACGUAACAUACACUAACGUUGAUUUGAUAGUUUUAUACUUUAAUGGCAAUCCACACAUUGACAUAUUAUGAGAUUAUAAUUUACGAGUCAAAAUAACUAAAUUGGGACAAAUAUAUUUUCAAGUCAAGAGGAAUGUGAUGUCGUUUAAAACCGCGAGAGAAGUAAAGAUAAUAGUCGAAGGUCAUCAAUCGGAGACAAUUUUGGCAGUCUACGCACUGCAUGCAGUGGUCAUCAAACUUUUUAUGGGAGACCGUAUUUGAGCUACGUAUCAGCGACAUCGUGGUCCAUAAUCGAUUGGGAGACGGUAAAAAUGUCGCAAGAUUGGAAAAAGAAAAGAAUCGUUUUAUUUCAUAACUGUACAAAGGGAAAAACCUUUUGUCGAUCUCCUCAUAUAAUAACUUCAGACAGCGGUCACAAUUAGAAAUUAAAACGUGUAAACGUAUUUUGGUAACCAAUAGUAGCGGAGAAAAUUACACGACGAGUGAUAACAAUCACGCACACUCUAAAACAGUUAUAGGUACUCCACUCCACGCACAAUCUAACGCGGAAGUGAACGGUAUAUUCGCGAUGUAAUCCGCAGACAAGCAAUGCGGUGGGAAAAUAAGGACUCGCGAAGAUCCUUCUUGCGGUGUUUCGGAGCCAAUUACCGAGAGAUUCGGAGGAGCAAACCAGCUGGGGCAUGGGCGACAUUCAAUAGAGUGUGGCUGUG